CCCGCCGGACCUGACUGCUAUCGGAUUGAUACUAAGCCAUGCGAGUCUUUGCAGUAAUGCAAGGCAGACGGCUCAGUAACACGUAGUCAACCUACCCUAUGGACGAGAAUAAUCUCGGGAAACUGAGCAUAAUUCUUGAUAGAUCAUAAUGCCUGGAAUGGUUUAUGGUUAAAAUGAUUCGUCGCCAUAGGAUGGGACUGCGGCCUAUCAGCUUGUUGGUGAGGUAAUGGCCCACCAAGGCGAUUACAGGUACGGGCUCUGAGAGGAGAAGCCCGGAGAUGGGUACUGAGACACGGACCCAGGCCCUAUGGGGCGCAGCAGGCGAGAAAACUUUGCAAUGUGCGAAAGCACGACAAGGUUAAUCCGAGUGGUUUCUGCUAAAGGAACCUUUUGUUAGUCCUAAAAACACUAACGAAUAAGGGGUGGGCAAGUUCUGGUGUCAGCCGCCGCGGUAAAACCAGCACCUCAAGUGGUCAGGAUGAUUAUUGGGCCUAAAGCAUCCGUAGCCUGCUCUGUAAGUUUUCGGUUAAAUCUGUAUGCACAACAUACAGGCCGCCGGGAAUACUGCAGAGCUAGGGAGUGGGAGAGGUAGACGGUACUCGGGAGGAAGUGGUAAAAUGCUUUGAUCUCUCGAUGACCACCUGUGGCGAAGGCGGUCUACCAGAACACGUUCGACGGUGAGGGAUGAAAGCUGGGGGAGCAAACCGGAUUAGAUACCCGGGUAGUCCCAGCUGUAAACGAUGCAGACUAGAUGAUGCAUUGGCAUAAUAGCCAUUGCAGUGUCUCAGGGAAGCCGUUAAGUCUGCCGCCUGGGAAGUACGUACGCAAGUAUGAAACUUAAAGGAAUUGGCGGGGGAGCACCACAAGGGGUGAAGCCUGCGGUUCAAU
rnacentral:rRNA from 1 species